AACGUACGCUGGCGGCACGCCUUAUACAUGCAAGUCGAACGCAGUAGCAAUACUGAGUGGCAAACGGGUGAGUAUAAUGUGGGUAUCUGCCUUUUGGUUUGGAAUAACAUGAGGAAACUUGUGCUAAUACCGAAUAAGCCUUCACAGGGAAAGUUUUAACGCCGAAAGAUGAGCCCGCACUUGAUUAGUUUGUUGGUGAGGUAAUGGCUCACCAAGACAAUUAUCAAUAGCUGGUCUGAGAGGACGAUCAGCCACAUUGGGACUGAGACACGGCCCAGACUCCUACGGGAGGCAGCAGUAAGGAAUCUUGCACAAUGGGGGAAACCCUGAUGCAGCGAUGCCGCGUGAGUGAAGAAGGCCCUUGGGUUGUAAAACUCUUUCGUCGGGGAAGAAAAUGACUGUACCCGAAUAAGAAGGUCCGGCUAACUUCG
rnacentral:rRNA from 1 species